rnacentral:rRNA from 1 species
UACGUAGGGGGCUAGCGUUGUCCGGAUUUAUUGGGCGUAAAGAGCGUGUAGGCGGCCAGAUAGGUCUGCUGUGAAAACUCGAGGCUCAACCUCGAGAUGUCGGCGGAAACCAUUUGGCUAGAGUCCGGAAGAGGAAAGUGGAAUUCCAGGUGUAGCGGUGAAAUGCGUAGAUAUCUGGAGGAACACCGGUGGCGAAGGCGGCAUUCUGGACCGACAUUGACGCUGAGGAGCGAAAGCCAGGGGAGCAAAGCGGG